rnacentral:rRNA from 1 species
AAUGGACGAAAGUCUGACGCAGCGACGCCGCGUGGGGGAUGAAGGUCUUCGGAUUGUAAACCCCUUUCGGGAGGGAAGAUGGAGUGGGUAACCACUUGGACGGUACCUCCAGAAGCAGCCACGGCUAACUUCGUGCCAGCAGCCGCGGUAAUACGAAGGUGGCAAGCGUCGUUCGGAUUCACUGGGCGUACAGGGAGCGUAGGCGGUUGGGUAAGCCCUCCGUGAAAUCUCCGGGCCUAACCCGGAAAGUGCAGAGGGGACUGCUCAGCUAGAGGAUGGGAGAGGAGCGCGGAAUUCCCGGUGUAGCGGUGAAAUGCGUAGGGAUCGGGAGGAACACCAGUGGCGAAGGCGGCUACCUGGACCAAUACUGACGCUGAGGUGCGAAAGCGUGGGGAGCAAA